GUGCCCUUUUGUCCGCGCUUUGGCGCUUUAGCUGUAUGAUAGAAUUUGAACUAUUUCAUAAAGCUAGAUUACCAAAGCAUAGACGAAUUGGGAC
rnacentral:ncRNA from 2 species